GGUGAGAUGGCUCAGUGGUUAAGAGCACUGGCUGAUUGCUCUUCCAGAGACCCUGAGUUCAAUUCCCAGCUACCA
rnacentral:tRNA from 1 species